rnacentral:tRNA from 1 species
GGCCUCUUGGUCUAGUGGUAUGAUUCUCGCUUUGGGUUCUUUUCAAAUACAAAUUGCGAGAGGCCCCGGGUUCGAAUCCCGGAGAGGCCC